CUACUGUGUACAGAUUUGUUGCUGCAUCUGAGACUAAGCUAGUGUGGCUUGCUGGAAGUGUGGACAUUCAACGAAAAGCUUUCCCUUUCCAGCCAGGAAAUUGCAUGGAUCUGACUCUGUCUCCAUUGCAUAGCCCCAUCCAUUCUGUCUGGAACCACUAAUUAUAUAAAG
rnacentral:lncRNA from 1 species